rnacentral:rRNA from 1 species
AUUGCUCGCUAGCGUCAGGCCUAACACAUGCAAGUCGAGCGGAUGAAGGGAGCUUGCUCCUGAAUUCAGCGGCGGACGGGUGAUUAAUGCCUACGAAUCUGACUGGUAGUGAGGCAUAACGUCCGGUAACGGGCGCUAAUACAGCAUACGCCCUGUGGACGCAAGUUGGGGAUCUUCCGACCUCACGCUUUCUGAUGACCCUAUGCCGGAUUAGCUAGUUGGUUGGUUAAAAGCCUACCAAGGCGACGAUCCGUAACUGGUCUGAGAGGAUGAUCAGUCACACUGGAACUGAGCAACGGUCGAGAAUCCUACGGGAGGCAGCAUUGGUGAAUAGUGGACAAUGGGCGAAGGCCGUACACAGCCAUGCCGCGUGUGUGAAGUAGGUCUUCGGAUUGUAAAUCAGUUUCUGUUAGGAGGAAGGGCAGUAUGUUAUUACCUUGCUGUUUAGACGUGGCUAAGAGAUGAAGCACCGGCUAACUUCGUG